UACGAAGGUCCCGAGCGUUGUUCGGAAUCACUGGGCGUAAAGGGAGCGUAGGCGGCAUGGUAAGUCAGAUGUGAAAUCCCGGGGCUCAACCCCGGAACUGCAUCCGAUACUGCCUUGCUUGAGGGUUGGAGAGGUGACUGGAAUUCUCGGUGUAGCAGUGAAAUGCGUGGAUAUCGAGAGGAACACUCGUGGCGAAGGCGAGUCACUGGACAACAUCUGACGCUGAGGCUCGAAGGCUAGGGGAGCAAACAGG
rnacentral:rRNA from 1 species